AUUUUUCGAGUCGUAAUUUUUACUAAAAAUAGUAAAAAUACACUAGUCAGACUUCUAGUCAUUUUAGUCGUGCAAUACAUUUUUUUUAAAUAAUGCUGUGAACCUAUGCCUACCCUGAUGUUGCUUUUUCUUUACUAUUUUAUAGUAACUUCUCUAUUUCUAAAACUGUACAUCUUUACUUAUUCAGACAAUGGUUCUCUGCUAUUGUCCCAAAGACUUAAUUACUAAAGUAUUACUCUACGAUGAUUUAUUUUUUGUGUUUUACUCUUAUUUCUAUUUUAGAGUUAUUUUAUGAUUUCGCGAUUUUCUUCUCAUAAAAUAUGAAUGUAAUAAUAAACUUAAAUCUGUGCGUUUAAAUUAUUUUUUAAAUGUCGGAAAAGUCAUGACAUUCGAUCAAUAUUGAGACUUAAAUAUAAAAUUGUGAUAGUGUUUUAAUUUCAAUAUCAUUUACUUAGUAAAUUAACAAUUUAACUGUGUUGAAUGAAACGAUUGGAUUAUAUUAAUGGAUGUAGGUUAUUCCUGCAUUGUCUGUCAGUAUUUUUGUAAUUAAUGUGCAUUAUAAAUUGUAUACACCGUUUUUAUAUUUGCCAAAAAUGUAUACAAAAUUGUUUGAGAGUAUAAAAAUAAAAAUAGUGAUCCAACGGUAUCUUUUUAGAUAGGUUAUACUUGUCUCAAGAAUAAUUUAGAAAAGUACAAUUAUAAAAAGAGUGAAAGCAGUUUUUGGCAAAUAUAAAGAAUUGGACAAGAUUAAAAAUAUAAAGUUACAAGUUUUCUAAAUGAAUAAUAAAAUAAAUACUAAUGAAAUAAAAACUAAAAAUAAAUCAUCUGUGGGAAACUUGUAGCUUUAUCUAAUAAAAGAAUAAUGUAUUAAAUGAAUGCACGUAGUUUAUUCAUGUUGAAUUUAUUCAAAAUCUAAAGUGUGUAUUACAUGAUAUAAUAUAAAUAGAUUUGUAAGUGUAAAGUAAAUAGCGGGUAUGCUAUGUUCACGAUAAUAUUGUGUUUAAGACGCGCUCAGUGGAAAACGUUUAUUUAUGAUGGAAUGUUGUU